CUACGUGCCAGCAGCCGCGGUAAUACGGAGGAUGCGAGCGUUAUCCGGAUUUAUUGGGUUUAAAGGGUGCGUAGGCGGCCUGUUAAGUCAGUGGUGAAAGACGGUGGCUCAACCAUCGUUAGCCAUUGAAACUGGUAGUCUUGAGUGCAGACAGGGAUGCUGGAACUCGUGGUGUAGCGGUGAAAUGCUUAGAUAUCACGAUGAACUCCGAUCGCGAAGGCAGGUGUCCGGGCUGCAACUGACGCUGAGGCUCGAAAGUGUGGGUAUCAAACAGGAUUAGAUACCCUGGUAGUCCACACAGUAAACGAUGUAUACUCGCGGUUUGCGAUACAAUGUAAGCCGCCAAGCGAAAGCAUUAAGUAUACCACCUGGGGAGUACGCCGGCAACGGUGAAACUCAAAGGAAUUGACGGGGGCCCGCACAAGCGGAGGAACAUGUGGUUUAAUUCGAUGAUACGCGAGGAACCUUACCCGGGCUUGAAC
rnacentral:rRNA from 1 species